rnacentral:rRNA from 1 species
UACGGGUGAGGCAAGCGUUGUUCGGAAUCACUGGGCUUAAAGCGCGUGUAGGCGGCUCGGUAAGUACCUUGUGAAAUCCCUUCUCUCAAUGAAGGAACGGCGAGGUAUACUGCCGGGCUUGAGGCAGGUAGGGGUCACUGGAACUCUAGGUGGAGCGGUGAAAUGCGUAGAUAUCUAGAGGAACGCCCGUGGCGAAAGCGGGUGACUGGGCCUGUCCUGACGCUGAGACGCGAAAGCGUGGGUAGCAAACGGGAUUAGAUACCCCGGUAGUCCACGCCGUAAACGAUGCACACUAGGUUUGCCUGACUCUGACGUCCGGCGUGCCGAAACAAAAGCGUUAAGUGUGCCGCCUGGGGAGUACGGCCGCAAGGCUAAAACUCAAAGGAAUUGACGGGGGCUCACACAAGCGGUGGAGGAUGUGGCUCAAUUCGAAGCAACGCGAAGAACCUUACCUGGGUUUGACAUGCUAGGAUUAGCUUUCGUGAAAGCGAAGUGACGCGGCUUGCCGUGGAACUAGCACAGGUGCUGCAUGGCUGUCGUCAGCUCGUGCUGUGAAGUGUCGGGUUAAGUCCCUUAACGAGCGAAACCCUUGUCGCUAGUUGCCAGCGAGUAAAGUCGGGCACUUUAGCGAGACUGCCGGUGUUAAACCGGAGGAAGGUGGGGACGACGUCAAGUCCUCAUGGCCUUUAUGCCCAGGGUUGCACACGUCCUACAAUGGGAUGGUACAGAGCGAUGCAAGACCGCGAGGUGGAGCAAAUCGCAGAAAACUUCCCUCAGUUCGGAUUGCAGGCUGCAACUCGCCUGCAUGAAGCUGGAAUCGCUAGUAAUCGCGCAUCAGCUAUGGCGCGGUGAAUGUGUUCCUGAGCCU